GGGUGGCUGGCAGAAGUAAAUGUGUUUAGUUUAGGUCUAAAAGAUGGGCUGUUGCCCGCUACCCU
rnacentral:tRNA from 1 species